rnacentral:rRNA from 1 species
UACGGAGGGAGCUAGCGUUGUUCGGAAUUACUGGGCGUAAAGUGCGCGUAGGCGGCUUUGUAAGUUAGAGGUGAAAGCCUGGAGCUCAACUUCAGAAUUGCCUUUAAGACUGCAUCGCUUGAAUCCGGGAGAGGUGAGUGGAAUUCCGAGUGUAGAGGUGAAAUUCGUAGAUAUUCGGAAGAACACCAGUGGCGAAGGCGGCUCACUGGACCGGCAUUGACGCUGAGGUGCGAAAGCGUGGGGAGCAAACAGG